UCUGACAACAAAAAUCUUCAUGUAUUGUUUUUGGCAAAUAUUAAUUGUGUGAUUGCUUCGUCUGUAACUAUAGUUUUUUUGUUGUAGAAUUUUUGCUGUAUAAAUGAUGACUGUAGCUGUAGAUUUUAUUGCUGUAUAAAUUAGGUCGUGUUAUGAAUAAAGAUGGAUGCCCAUUAUAAGGCUAAUCAUCUAAGCCCAUCAUCUAGAUGUUUCUAGGGUUUUACCCUUUCCUUGUACUCCUAUAUAAAGAACCUUUUUCUCAAUGGAAUACUACACUCAUUUUCUUUUAUAUCUUUCUCUAGUUACAACACGUUAUCAGCACGCUCUAAAAGGUAGAUAUAGAGAUUCUUACAUUUUUUUAAGAACAAUGUUUACUUAUCGACUCAUGGUUCAUAGUACUUAUUUUAUAUUAUUGAAACAAAACAAUAUGAGCCGAUCGAUGAUUAUAGUAUAGAUCGGUAAAAGCAUGUUUUCAAUGAUUCAAUAAAGAAG
rnacentral:sRNA from 1 species